UCAGUAACACGUAGUCAACAUGCCCAAAGGACGUGGAUAACCUCGGGAAACUGAGGAUAAACCGCGAUAGGCCAAGGUUUCUGGAAUGAGCCAUGGCCGAAAUCUAUACGGCCUUUGGAUUGGACUGCGGCCGAUCAGGCUGUUGGUGAGGUAAUGGCCCACCAAACCUGUAACCGGUACGGGCUUUGAGAGAAGGAGCCCGGAGAUGGGCACUGAGACAAGGGCCCAGGCCCUAUGGGGCGCAGCAGGCGCGAAACCUCUGCAAUAGGCGAAAGCUUGACAGGGUUACUCUGAGCGAUGCCCGCUAAGGGUAUCUUUUGGCACCUCUAAAAAUGGUGCAGAAUAAGGGGUGGCAAGUCUGGU
rnacentral:rRNA from 1 species